UCUAAUACUUCAUAAUAUCCAUCUCGUAUGGAUUAAAGCUUUAUGCGCUUUGGGAGGGGCCUGCGUAACAUUAGCUUGUUGGUGAGGUAAAAGCUCACCAAGGCUUCGAUGUUUAACUGGUUUGAGAGGAUGACCAGUCACACUGGGACUGAGAUACGGCCCAGACUCCUACGGGAGGCAGCAGUAAGGAAUCUUCCACAAUGGGCAACCCUGAUGGAGCAAUACCGCGUGCAGGAUGAAGCGUUCGGCGUGUAAACUGCUUUAUCACCGAAGAUUAUGACUGUAGGUGAAGAAUAAGGACCGGCUAACUACGUG
rnacentral:rRNA from 1 species